GGUAUCCUGACCGUGCUAAGGUAGCGCAAUCACUUGCCCUUUAAUUGGGGGCUAGUAUGAAUGGUCAGACAAGAGCUCAACUGUCUUAAAGAGAUACAUGAAAAUUAACCUUUAGGUGCAGAGGCCUAAAUUAAAGUGAAAGACAAGAAGACCCUAUCGAGCUUUAACUUCAUUACUUAUUUUAACAAGUAAAUAAGUUUUUAUUGGGGCAAUAAGAGAGCACCCCUAGCCUCUCCUCUUUCUUAAGGUAAACUAAUUUAAUUUGAUACAUUUAAAAAUUAUCAUAGACACCAGCUACCGUAGGGAUAACAGACUAAUUUCCCUUGAGAGUUCACAUUGACAGGGAAGCUUGGCACCUCGAUGU
rnacentral:rRNA from 1 species